GAAAUACACUAUCUGUUAAGCUGUGUCAGUAGCUAAGUCUGUGUGUCUAAAUUAAAAACAUACUCACCCUGAAGUUAUUUGAAGGAUCCUUGAGACUCUUUUGGAUUGCUGCUUGGAGAACAUUCCUGUAACUUGUCCCUGCUCCUUGAACUAUAAAAGCAGAAGGGAGGUACUGAGUUAAAACUUACAAAUUAUUAUCAAAUAAAUCUUCAAUAGUGGUUCA
ensembl:lncRNA CFLAR-AS1 CFLAR antisense RNA 1